rnacentral:rRNA from 1 species
AAAAAAAAAAAAACCCC